rnacentral:rRNA from 1 species
GACGAACGCUGGCGGCGUGCUUAACACAUGCAAGUCGAGCGGAGCGGCGAACGGGUGAGUAACGCGUGAGUAACUGCCCCCCUCUCUGGGAUCACAGUUGGAAACGGCUGCUAAUACCGGCUAGUGGGGGGGGACUCGCGUCCUAUCAGCUUGUUGGUGGGGUAGUGGCCUACCAAGGCGACGACGGGUAGCCGGCCCGGGAGGGGGACCGGCGACAAGAGGCGGAGAUACGGCCCAAACUCCUACGGGAGGAAGCAGUGGGGAAUAGUGCACAAUGGGGGAAACCGUGAGGCAGAAGCGCCGCGUGCGGAAGGACGGGCUUCGGGUUGAAAACCGCGUUCAGCCAUGACGCGGUAGUGGCAGAAGAAGCACCGGCUAACUACGUGCCAGCAGCCGCGGUAAUAC